rnacentral:rRNA from 1 species
GACGAACGCUGGCGGCGGGCUUAACACAUGCAAGUCGAACGGAAAGGCCCUGCUUUUGUGGGGUGCUCGAGUGGCGAACGGGUGAGUAACACGUGAGUAACCUGCCCUUGACUUUGGGAUAACUUCAGGAAACUGGGGCUAAUACCGGAUAGGAGCUCCUGCUGCAUGGUGGGGGUUGGAAAGUUUCGGCGGUUGGGGAUGGACUCGCGGCUUAUCAGCUUGCUGGUGGGGUAGUGGCUUACCAAGGCUUUGACGGGUAGCCGGCCUGAGAGGGUGACCGGCCACAUUGGGACUGAGAUGCGGCCCAGACUCCUACGGGAGGCAGCGGUGGAGAAUAUUGCACAAUGGGCGGAAGCCUGAUGCAGCAACGCCGCGUGCGGGAUGACGGCCUUCGGGUUGUAAACCGCUUUCGCCUGUGACGAAGCGUGAGUGACGGUAAUGGGUGAAGAAGCACCGGCUAACUACGUG